AGGAGAAGUUCAACCAGCUCUGCUUGCAGACCGGCAUCCUUCCUGAAAAUAUUGUUCAUCUUCCUAAAACCGAGGAGUGUCCGCUUGAGUGUUUUGUCUGAUCUGUUGUUGAUCGUCUCACCGACACUGCAUAAAGAUCUGACACCAUCUGUUAUGGAAAUGUGACUGAGCAACAUCUGUAGCAGUUUUUAACAAUAAAAAUGCAAAAAUCUA